AAUGGGGGCAACCCUGAUCCAGCCAUGCCGCGUGUGUGAAGAAGGCCUUCGGGUUGUAAAGCACUUUAAGCGAGGAGGAAGGUUUACUAGCUAAUACCUAGUAGAAUUGACGUUACUCGCAGAAUAAGCACCGGCUAACUCUGUGCCAGCAGCCGCGGUAAUACAGAGGGUGCAAGCGUUAAUCGGAAUUACUGGGCGUAAAGCGCGCGUAGGCGGUAUGUUAAGUCGGAUGUGAAAUCCCUGGGCUCAACCUAGGCACUGCAUCCGAUACUGGCACACUAGAGUGUGGGAGAGGAAGGUAGAAUUCCAGGUGUAGCGGUGAAAUGCGUAGAGAUCUGGAGGAAUACCGAUGGCGAAGGCAGCCUUCUGGCCUAACACUGACGCUGAGGUGCGAAAGCAUGGGGAGCAAA
rnacentral:rRNA from 1 species